AUUGAACGCUGGCGGCAGGCUUAACACAUGCAAGUCGAGCGGGGUGAAGUGCUUCGGUACUGAUCCUAGCGGCGGACGGGUGAGUAAUGCUUAGGAAUCUGCCAUUUAGUGGGGGACAACAUUCCGAAAGGGAUGCUAAUACCGCAUACGUCCUACGGGAGAAAGCAGGGGAUCUUCGGACCUUGCGCUAAAUGAUGAGCCUAAGUCGGAUUAGCUAGUUGGUGGGGUAAAGGCCUACCAAGGCGACGAUCUGUAGCGGGUCUGAGAGGAUGAUCCGCCACACUGGGACUGAGACACGGCCCAGACUCCUACGGGAGGCAGCAGUGGGGAAUAUUGGACAAUGGGGGGAACCCUGAUCCAGCCAUGCCGCGUGUGUGAAGAAGGUCUUUUGGUUGUAAAGCACUUUAAGCGAGGAGGAGGCUACUGAGACUAAUACUCUUGGA
rnacentral:rRNA from 1 species